CACUUUAAGAAAUUGAAGCAAAAAUGAUGACAUAAUAGGCUUUGUUGAUCUGGACUGUGUGACUCAUGACUGGCCACACUGAUGAACUCUGCUAUAGUUUGACAAUGGUCAUUGCUCUCAAAAAUACCUCCCUAAGGGCCGCUCUCUGAAAACAGACAGGACAAGGGAAGCCAGUGUUCCUGAGUCCUGGUUAUGAACCUCUUAUCCAGUCAACCCAGAGUUGUCCCACCAGGCACAAUGCUAUGCUAGCUCUGCUGCAUGAAAAUGAACUAAUACAGAGAGCCUGAGCAUGCUUUUGUGAAUGGGGCCAAUGUCUUCACCAGCUCUCACUGCCAGGAGGCAGUUUGAUCUUUGGAAAAUGUGAAGAAAUAGAUCACAGGUUGAAAGGAUGGCCAUGUGCUACAAAUGAAAACUACAAAACAGUCAACUCUCAGACCUUCCCGUGAGGUUGGUCAAUGUCGAGGAUGAGAAGGAAUGGCUUGGCAUCCAGACCAACAACCGAAGUCAGCAAGAGUUGGAAAAGACCAAGUUCCUGGAUGUGGCUGCUCUUCCACUGUUGAAUUCUUCUAGGCUUUGCAUAACUACAAAAAUUCAUGGAGCGAUUUCCUGUACUAAGACUGCUUGGAAAAUUUAUGGACUAUUUUAGAAAAACAUUCUGGCUUUUUUCUAAAUAAGAAGAAAAUACCAGAAUGAUUAAUCCAGGUGAAGUCUCACAUAAUCUGUGAAUGAACUCUUUCCCAUUUCUCUUUUAUUUGGUAGUAAUGUGGACUUGUUGAUAACAUGAAUUCAAGUCUGGAUUCCUCUUGCAUUCGGCCACAAAUAUUCUCUCCUAAAUAAAAGGUUAUGAUGGAGUCA
rnacentral:lncRNA from 13 species